ensembl:lncRNA
UCCCGCUGGACAGAACUAGGGGAAAGAGGGAAAAGGGACAUGCUUUUUUCCCAUCUCUCUGUCUGUAUCUCUAUCUCAAUAAAUUAUCCUUAUGAUCGAAGCUCUCUCAAGAAAAAAAAGCAAUGGUUAAACAGGAAGAAGUGACCUGCAGGGUGGAACGCCUAUCAGGCAGGCUGUAGAUAGAUCAAUGAAGGGGGGCCAUGUGCUGCUCUACAGUCAGAGAGAUAGGGUGGGAUUUCACAGGCGAGCAGCACAUGCUCUCACCACUCUGAGAGCUGAAAGACAUAUAGUGCACAUGUGUGGAUGCGUGUGUGUUUGCAGUAGAAAGCCCUGGCGUCUUGGGACUAUCGCUUUUGAGGAAAAAACAAGUAUUCAGGGGUGUCAACGGACCCGAGCUGUGACUCUAAAGAAGAGACGGCGAGUGGGACAUACACAUCGGACGCUCUGACAAUGCCGGCUCAGGUUCCUGUGAGUUUGCCAUGGCGACCAGUGGGCCCUGACAGCAGCGGGGAUCAUGGUCUUGCAGAGGAAGGGUGUGUGUGUAGUUGAGGGGGUUUGGGGUUAUUGGGGGACACACGCCAGAUGCCUUGGGGAGACGCCCUUCAGCUCACCAGCUGGGAGAGGCUAAACUGCCCCUCACGUGAUUGUUUUUGGACUUUAACGGAUUUUAGUGUUUGUUUAUGGUACACUUCGGCUAUCAUAAAGUCACAAACACAAAAAAAGAUCAUAUAAAACAGACCUUAAUUGGUUUUACAUUGGACAUUAUGUGGCAGUG